rnacentral:rRNA from 1 species
UACGUAGGGUGCAAGCGUUGUCCGGAAUUAUUGGGCGUAAAGAGCUCGUAGGCGGUUUGUCGCGUCUGCUGUGAAAACUCAGGGCUUAACCCUGAGCCUGCAGUGGGUACGGGCAGACUAGAGUGUGGUAGGGGUGACUGGAAUUCCUGGUGUAGCGGUGGAAUGCGCAGAUAUCAGGAGGAACACCGAUGGCGAAGGCAGGUCACUGGGCCGCAACUGACGCUGGAGGAGCGGAAAGCAUGGGGAGCGAACAGG